AUUGAACGCUGGCGGCAGGCCUAACACAUGCAAGUCGAACGGAGUGGCGGACGGGUGAGUAAUGUCUGGGAAACUGCAUGAUGGAGGGGGAUAACGUCCGGCAACGGGCGCUAAUACCGCAUCCUAUCAUCUGAGCCACGGUCGGAUUAGCUAGUUGGUGGGGUAAAGGCCUACCAAGGCGAAUAUCCGUAAAUGGUCUGAGCGGAUGAUCAGUCACACUGGAACUGCUACACGGUCCAGACGCCUACGGGAGGCAGCAGUGGGGAAUAUUGGACAAUGGGCGAAAGCCUGAUCCAGCCAUGCCGCGUGUGUGAAGAAGGUCUUCGGAUUGUAAAGCACUUUAAGUUGGGAGGCGUUACCAACAUAAUAAGCACCGGCUAACUUCGUGCCAGCAGCCGCGGUAAUUC
rnacentral:rRNA from 1 species